CUUUAUUUUCCACUUUCAGCUCGGCUGCCUGAACUAAUGCGACGAAGCCCCGUAGUGUUCGGCGGCCGACUGUACGAAAUGGCUUUCUGAUAUGUGUAAUAUCUGAGUGCUUUGGGACAAAGUGGAUAUGAGAAAGAGAAAUAUGAAGAAAACAGGAGUAUUCGUCUUGGAAAUGGACGUCGGCGUUCAAAUCAAAUGGCCUUUUGUGUCGGAGACAACGGUGCGAGCUCGGUCAAAUGGAGCAAUUAGGAAAGAACGGCCGUCCUUCGUUGAGGACACGGCAGAAAGAGACGGGGUCGCGCUUCCAGUGAUUUGAGUUUAUUUAUGUGAUGCGUGUCGGCGAGGAGAAAGCAGAGCGGCGUGGCGGAGCGCUGAUUGAUCGCUCGGAGGCAAUCACCACGAGCAACGAGCCGAAAAUAGGCCGCCGGCGUCCUG
ensembl:lncRNA